rnacentral:rRNA from 1 species
UCAGACGAUGCGUCAUGCAUAUCAAUAAGCGGAGGAAAAGAAACUAACAAGGAUUCCCCUAGUAACGGCGAGUGAAGCGGGAAGAGCUCAAAUUUGAAAUCUUAAAGGGUUUCCCUUUACGAAUUGUAGUUUAAAGAAGUGUUUUCUGUUGAGGUUUUGGUAAAAGUUCUUUGGAAUAGGACAUCAUAGAGGGUGAGAAUCCCGUAUUCGACCUUUACUUUCAACUUUGUGAUACACUUUCAAAGAGUCGGAUUGUUUGGGAAUGCAGUCCAAAAUGGGUGGCUAAAUUUCAUCUAAAGCUAAAUAUUGGCGAGAGACCGAUAGCGAACAAGUACCGUGAGGGAAAGAUGAAAAGAACUUUGAAAAGAGAGUUAAACAGUACGUGAAAUUGUCAAAAGGGAAGCGUUUGACACCAGUGUUGUUUUUCUGAAAAUCAAUUAAAGAACUGUUUAUGCUAAGUUGUUUAGACUUUAUCAGCUAACUGUUUAGUUUUGAGCUUUUCUUUAAUGCACUUUUCAGUUAACAAGUCAACAUCAAUUUCUUUUGCUGUAAAAAAGCUUGAGGAAGGUGGCUUGAGAUUCGUCUUAAGUGUUUAUAGCCUCUUGCCUAUGCAGUCGGAGAGAUUGAGGUCUGCAGCGUAGAUCCUUCGGGGCUAAAUGCAUUUGUGCUAAGUGAUAGCAUUUUAUAGACAACUUGUUGACUAUGAUUUGUCUUGUAGCUUACUCGCUUAUGUUAUUUUACCUACGCUUAGGAUGUUGAGCGCAUGUCUCUCUCU